rnacentral:rRNA from 1 species
CAGAAUGAACGCUGGCGGCGUGGAUAAGACAUGCAAGUCGAACGAAAAGAGAUUUAGUUUACUAAUGAUCUUUUAGUGGCGGACGGGUUAGUAACGCGUGAGCAACUUGCCUCAAAGAGGGGGAUAGUCCUGGGAAACUGGGUUUAAUACCGCAUGUGCUCUUCGGAGUAAAGCUGGCUUUCGAGCUAGUGCUUUGAGAUAGGCUCGCGUCCUAUCAGCUAGUUGGUGAGGUAAAGGCUCACCAAGGCGACGACGGGUAGUUGGUCUGAGAGGACGAUCAGCAACACUGGAACUGAGACACGGUCCAGACACCUACGGGUGGCAGCAGUCGAGAAUCAUUCACAAUGGGGGCAACCCUGACGGUGCAACGCCGCGUGGAGGAUGAAGGCCCUAGGGUCGUAAACUCCUGUCAUAGCAGAGUAAGGCAUAGUGGUUAAUAUCCAUUAUGUUUGAUAGUAUGCUAAGAGGAAGGGACGGCUAACUUCGUGCCAGCAGCCGCGGUAAUACGAAGGUCCCGAGCGUUAUUCGGAAUCACUGGGCGUAAAGGGAGCGUAGGCUGCGCGGUAAGUCAGAUGUGAAAUCUCAAGGCUCAACCUUGAAACUGCAUCCGAUACUGCCGUGCUAGAGUAAUGGAGGGGUAACUGGAAUUCUCAGUGUAGCAGUGAAAUGCGUAGAUAUUGAGAGGAAGACCAACGGCGAAGGCAGGUUACUGGACAUUUACUGACGCUGAGGCUCGAAGGCUAGGGUAGCGAAAGGGAUUAGAUACCCCUGUAGUCCUAGCAGUAAACGAUGUGCGCUUGGUGUAGGUGGGUUCGACCCCAUCUGUGCCGGAGCUAACGCGUAAGCGCA